rnacentral:rRNA from 1 species
UACAGAGGGGGCAAGCGUUGUUCGGAAUUACUGGGCGUAAAGGGCGCGUAGGCGGCCCGCUAAGUCGAACGUGAAAUCCCCGGGCUCAACCCGGGAACUGCGUCCGAUACUGGCAGGCUUGAAUCCGGGAGAGGGAUGUGGAAUUCCAGGUGUAGCGGUGAAAUGCGUGGAUAUCUGGAGGAACACCGGUGGCGAAGGCGGCAUCCUGGACCGGUAUUGACGCUGAGGCGCGAAAGCCAGGGGAGCAAACGGG